rnacentral:rRNA from 1 species
GAUGAACGCUGGCGGCGUGCCUAAUACAUGCAAGUCGAGCGAACAGAUAAGGAGCUUGCACCUUUGACGUUAGCGGCGGACGGGUGAGUAACACGUGGGUAACCUACCUAUAAGACUGGGAUAACUUCGGGAAACCGGAGCUAAUGCCGGAUAACAUUUGGAACCGCAUGGUUCUAAAGUGAAAGAUGGUUUUGCUAUCACUUAUAGAUGGACCCGCGCCGUAUUAGCUAGUUGGUAAGGUAACGGCUUACCAAGGCGACGAUACGUAGCCGACCUGAGAGGGUGAUCGGCCACACUGGAACUGAGACACGGUCCAGACUCCUACGGGAGGCAGCAGUAGGGAAUCUUCCGCAAAAGGCGAAAGCCUGACGGAGCAACGCCGCGUGAGUGAUGAAGGGUUUCGGCUCGUAAAACUCUGUUAUUAGGGAAGAACAAAUGUGUAAGUAACUGUGCACGUCUUGACGGUACCUAAUCAGAAAGCCACGGCUAACUACGUG